rnacentral:rRNA from 1 species
CCGCGACCCCAGGUCAGGCGGGACUACCCGCUG